AUGUGCAUUUUUCUUUAUCAUUAUUCUUGUAAUAAUUAUAAAUAGAAGGGAGGUGUAGAUGCUAAAUAGGCGACGUUUAAAAUAAUCUAUAUUUUUUGUUUUCAAAAAAUAAAUUUAUAAUAUUAAAUUUAGUUUUUUGACAAUUUGCUCAUGAAGGAUGUUCAAAAAUGUAAUUGGCUCCCUAAAAGAUCAAUUUGAGCAAAUUGUCCUACAAAACAUGGUUAAAGUGUAAUUGGCCCCCUUACAAAACCUAUUGGAACAAAUUGCCCUUGGAUUUUAUUUAAUUGUAACAAUGCCCGUCGUAAACUAACUGUUAUUUACCGUUUAUGUUUUUAUUUUUCUGAAUUGUGCGAGGAAUUUCAGUUAAUCUUUUGCUUCUCCGUUUUUGAGUUGUACAAGUAUUGGUCUUUAUUUUUUGAAGACAAUGGGGGAGUCAUGUGAGAGAGAGAGUUUGGUGCCAAAAAAUAAGGUAUGGUAGUUUCAUUUUUACUAUCUUUUAGUUCAAAAAAAGAAGAUUUUCAUUUUUACUCUUCUCUGCCCAUUUAAAAUUGCAUGUGUAUGGUAUGUGUUGUGAAAAUAGAUGAAAAGAUGAACAGUAAUUAGUUCAUGGAGAUGUUAGAAUUGAAUUUAAUUUAAGGGCAAUUUGCUUCAUGAUCAUUUCGGGUCAAUUACAACAUUUUUUCAAGGAUAAUUUUGUUUUAAAAACAAACAAAUUAUCAAAACCCUGAAAAUUAUAUUUAAAAAUCAGCACUAUGUCCCAUUUCCUUCCUCUAUUCCUUGUCACACCAAACAUACUCUUCACAACCUCUCCGCGUGUAUUUUGCCUUUUCGUAAAAUAAACCAAACAUGGUGAAUGUUAACAUUUUUACUCUAUUUUUCACUACACCUCAAUCCAAAUACAGUUUUGGAGGCUAUGCGAUUGACUAAGAUAGAUUUUGGUAAAGUUUUACAGUUGUUUUUCUUGUAUUUUUUAUUGUUAUUGUUAUUAUUAUUAUUAUUGUUAAUCAGCGAAAGUCAUGAAACAUGUUUGUGCUUAUUUUUACUAACAUUAAAAAAAAAAAAAAAAGAAGGUAUUUUGUACACAAAUGUUUUCAAAAUAUACAAAUAAUAAAUUUUUUUUUUUUUAAAUAUGUGGUGAGUUGUUGGAGGGCUUGCAUGAUGAUUGUUGGAAGCUAGGGGUGCUCAGUGGAUAUGCCGAUCCGUUCAACCCACCUAGCCUAAAUGGAACUACCAUGUCUUGGGUGGAUGCGUGACAUUGAACGGGCGGAUACGGGCCCAAAAUUUCACAUUUCGUGGGUGUGGAUUAGGUUGCGGUUAAUCCGUCAAUGAGCUGCUUCUACCCGACCUGUCCCCCCCUCUCUCUGUCUCUCUCUUCCCUUGCUGUUGUGCCCCCCUUUCAGGCUGAAUUGACCAAAAUCAAACCCUAAAACCUAUUAUGCUUCAGCACACAAUGGAAGUGGUGGCCAAAGGGAGGGGGUGAGGAAGGAAUGCAAAUAAAAAAAUAAAAAAUAAAAAAAUCUAAAAUUGUGUAUUUUGAAAAUUAUCAAAUGUUUAUUUCUUGUAAAAACAAAAAUUAUGGAGGUUUUUGAAUCCUGAUGGGACUUUCGUCCUUAUGUCAAAAUGUGGACUAUCAGAUUGAAAAUGCCUUACUCUCAUUUGUCUCAUUUGGACAUUCUAAUGGUUCAGAUCAAUUUUAAAAUUUCAAUGGUUCAGGCUGCUCACACCUCAACUCUCUCACAUGAGUCACAUCUCACAUACAUCUUCCCUUGCCUUCUCUCUGAUUUUGAUUUCAAAAUUUAAAACUCAUUCUCUUUCACACCUCUUCCUCGUUCUCUUCCCACCACACAUCUUCUUUCCACCAAGCUUUCUCUCUCUAGAAGUUUAAGUAAGCUCCGGUGGUGAUUUCCGAAAUAUAGCUCCGAUGGAAUAUAGCCCUGCUAAGAGAGGGUGAUUUCUACCAUUUGGCUCAAUGUUUGCCUCCUCUCUCUCUCUACACAGCUCCAAGUUGCAGAGAAAGCGGGGAAAAGAAAAGAAAGUGAAGUGUUGAUGUUCUUAAUUGUUAUUUUCCUUAAUUGGCUUGGGUUAUUUGUUUCGAGCACCAUUAAUAUAUCUCUUUAUAUUUUUUUUUCUGCUCUAUCUUUAAGCACCAUUAUGUUUUCUACUUCAUAUGAUGCAGCAACUUCGAUGGCGGCAAUGGAGCAAAAUAAGGUUCUGGGUAUUCAUCUUAGUCUUGCUGGCUCUGUUUCGGUGUCUUGAUCUUGCUAGCUCUGUUCAAGGAUAUCCCAAACAGGCAUUUUAAUUAGUUAGUUAAUCAAAUGCAAUAAUAAUAAUAAUAAUUCAAAUCUAUUAAUAGGUAAAUGCAAGACGAAUAAAUAAGAUAUUAGAAAACAUCAAAUGCAAGACGAGAGUGUAAGUUUUUAGGGGGUAAUCAAAUGGCCUUCCAUGAAUUGAGUUUCUGGAUCAGAUAUAGUGGGUUUUGAAAUGGAUAGUAGGAGAAUUACCACCGGUCCUUGGCUGUGAUGGCCAAGAAAGGUUUGAUUGUGGGUUGGUUUUGUUUCUCAUGUAUAUUGUGUAUUUGAUUUGGUUUGUCAAAUAGUAUUUUGUAUUUGUGGAUUUUGUUCUUUGAUUUUGAUUCAUUGAAAUUUUGUUGCUAAAUUUGGCAGCUAAGUUUUUACUAUAAAGAAAUUUAUCGUGUGCUCCCUCCCUCUAAAACCUAUUAAUGCUUUUAUGGGUUUUUUUUAAAAAAUUUUUUUUAUAAAUUUUUUAAGAAAGAAGCUUUGUUGUGAACCUUUGAGAGCUAUAUUUGUUUUCUAUACCAUUGUUUUCUAAUUGGGAAAUAUAAUUGAUUUUACUUGAAAUAGUAAUUGGGUCUUUCAUGUUCAAAAAUUCACUUAAUAUGGAAGGUUAAAAGAGUGAAAUAAAAAAAAAAAAAAAAGUUUAAACUGGAAGUACUAUAACAAAUGAGUAUAUGGUUUCUUUUGUUUUUUCUGUUGUUAUUUUUCUCUUUUACACUGUAGUAGUGGGUUUGUAAAUGGAACUUAGUUAUCAAAGCCAAAACAUGCAUAUUAGCUAUUCAAAACUCGGAAACUACUCAUUUCAAUUUACAUGUCCGUAUAUUUAUGGGUCUAAUUUCUCUUUGGGGUUUAAUCACUGAGUUUAUUGUUUGAUUUGGAAUGGAGGGUGAAGGGAAAUUAAUCAAAAUUUUGAAUUUUAGAUUUAUUUCAAUCUAUAACAUUAGGAAACAAAAGUUGAUGCUUAUUAGUUGAUUGGAAUCACAGGUAGAGGGAAAGAUAUCUAUCUGAUUAGAUAAACGGGGAACACCGUGAAAAUUGAAAGUUACUAUGGGAUGUAAUAUUUAAGGGAUGCAAGAAAAUUGACAGCUUAUGAAUUUUGUUUCCUUCUUUUUAUUUUUAUUUAUUUAUUUUUUAAAUUGAUAACAACCUUUGAAUAAUAUUUUUAUGGGAACUGUAAAUGAUCAUCUUUAAACCAAUUGUUCUUUAUUGUUUUUUGUCUUGAUAUUUCAUAUAGAAUUUCAUUUGA